AAAACAUGGGUGCAUGUAAAAUGAAUUAAUGGGCUUAAACCUAAAUGAUAAACAAGCCCAAUCAUAAUCUGUUUUUAACCUAAAUCGCAUAAUAAUAAUGAAAAGAAUAGUAAAAAAUCAAUAAAGUUGUUGACUUUCAAACAUACACCAAACCAAUAACUUUCCGUGAAAAGAAAAAAUGCAUCGUGAAAAAGAAGAGAAGCGGAACACGAUUAGAAAUGGAGGGGACGGAGACUGGAGACGGUGGUUGUC
rnacentral:lncRNA from 1 species